CUCAAUCGUGAUUGUAAGGUGCAUUCUAGAGUAUAUGUAUGAGUAAAAAUAAGCUUUAGAAUUAUUUCAUCUCUUUGUUUCGAAAUGCACAUCGUUUGAUAAACAAAUCCAUCGAUCGACAUACGGUUUGUUUUCAAAAUAUAAUAGGAGUCAUUUAAAGUGCUGCCUGUAGAAGCGGUUGCCAAAAUUCUAGUGUUGAAAUCAUCAUAAAGGGAGUGUUGCCGUUUUGACUGAUUUUCACUCUUCGUCUCUUUCACUAUUCUCUUUGGCUUUGGGGAAUAUCUCAUAAUUUUUGGGUUAAUUUGGACUCCCUCUCUUUCGUUUUUCGUUGGAAGAAGUUGGAUGCCCAGAUUUAAAAUUACCUACUGGUAGGUAAUGCAAGUUUUCUGUAAAGAUAAAAUCUCGACACACAUGUCAAAUGGUCCUAAGUACAAAUGAGAGCCUCUCUUUGCUUACUUUCUCUUUCGAUUGUUAUGGUGUCAUCAUAAAACUUUUCAAUAUUAUUUCAGGAUAUAUCGUAAAACUCUGAUUUUGACUAGCAUAUUAUGCUAAGAGUUAAGGAACAAACGUAUAAACGGCCGAGUUAUUAGCGAAAGAGAAAUUAAACAGAGAAACUGUCAUUUGCACUUAUGACCAUCUGAAAUGUUUGGCUAGAAAUAAAAAUCGCAUUCUUCCGUUUUGCAAACCCUUCGAUUUCGUGGCUUUGUGUGGAGUUUUCGCACUUUUUAUAGUUUGUGAUACGGAAAGAUCACAAGGCCUUGUUUUGCACUGUACACGAUCAUACCAUCUGAAGUAAGUAAUACUGACAUUUACUCAAUCGAUUGUUGAAUUCAAACUGGAAUCCAGACAUAACAUUUGUAAUUCUAAAUCAAAUUCCGAAUGGUUUUAACAGUGAAAAACAUACUAUUAGAUUUUUUCGGCGGGAUGACACAGAAAGCAACCCCCAACAAUCGAUUCCAAACGGCUAAAAUAAAACCGGAGUUUAUAGUAAAUGUAUGUGCAUUUAAAAUGUCGAACAGAUAAACAUCUCUUUUGAGCUGCAUCCAAAUGCCAUGUGUCGUUAUUACUGCUGGCGGGUAACGAUUGUGUAACCAACUUUAUCGUUAGUUCUUUAGCUGAUGGAUGAGGCUGUGUGUGUUGAUGUGCUGGACGCAGUCGUGCACAAAAUGCUGCGUAUUCUUCGUAUUCAUUGGCUGAAUAGCCGUGUGCACUUGCACUUGAACAAGAUCCAACAAAACCGUUACACACAAGAUGAAAGAAGUUGCAGGGCGUAGGUUUCUAUUUCGUCUUAAAUUAAAUUGGUUAAUCAUAUAUGUUAUCCAAGAAAAUAGUCAGCAAAACCGCCUACAAUGAAAUUAAAGAAAACUUCAUACAUCCCGGUUCAUUAGAAGUAUUAUGUAUGAAGUGUAGAUGCUCCAUUUAAAGUUUCAAUGCAAACAAACUGUAAACUUUGAGUCGAAAUGUAAGUCUUGAAAGCUGAAUAUAAUUUUUUUAAAUCAAUAGAAAAAACGCUACAUUCAACUAAAGCUGUCUUAAAUUUAAAAUAUUGACAUUCUAAAUUCAACUACCAAAAAUUUUAAAUUUAAAAACAGAAUGGCUUAAUUUCCCUCGGCAUUAUACUGUACCUUGAUGUGGUCCGGGAGCUUUUCCACCAAAGCAGUAUUACAGUGAUUAUAUCACAUAAGCUUGGUAUACGAUUAUUUUCUUUUUAGUUAAGCUACAUUGUGAUCAAUUUUAGUACUUAACUUGGCGACCUUUAUUAUCCACUGCCAUGGUCAAAUAAUAUACAAUGUGGGUUUAGGGCCCAAUUCUCUCUGCAGGCACCUCAUUCCAAACGUACAAACGUGGCCUACGCGAUAACACAAACCUGGUCACAAAUACGAACCUAAGAACCUAAGCUUGCCUUUAGUUGGACCAAUAGAAAUAAAAACUAGACAAGACGUCCACGUGCGAUCGUUGAAGAAUGCGCGAGCGUGCGAAUGGCCACACGAUUAUAAAGAUAAUGUGUCUACGCGAAGUUGCAUACUAGCACACGCGACAAAAACGUUCACAUACAAACGCUCGAGUCCUUCGCGAUCAUCCACGCACGACCACACCCACGAUCUCGUAAGUAUAACACUCUGGUGACUAAGUGAAUGGUUUAGCAUUUAUAAAUUAACAAUCCCGGUCUCGAGAGUGAACCUCCAAAUGCCCGUGUUCGCGCGAUCAUGAAUCGGUUUCGUCCGGAAUCACCUAUUCUCGGCCCUAGUCGCAUAAGUCCAAUGCCUUCAGGUGGACCAAUCAAAAAUAUAAUGCUCAUAUCCACUAAACUAUAUAAAAAUCGAAUGUAUACACACAAAGUCGCAUACACGCGACAAACAAAUAUAAAAAUGCUUGAGCCCUUUGCGACCAUCCACGCAACCUAUACUCGCGCUCUUUUAAACACGUACUUUUAAACAUUCAAACGCAGUCUCAAGUGUGAACCUACAGUCCCCGCACUCGCGCAUUCAUGAAUCGUUCGCGUCCGGAAGUCUAUCCUUGAUUCCAGAAGUCUAGGUCCAUACCUUAAUUGAAUCAAUUAGCUCUACAGUUUCAGUAGGACAACUCUCGAGAAAAAUCGGCAUAUUAUUAAUACUCAAUAACAAUACUAACUCUUCUCUUUAUUUUUUUUAUUUAUUUUCGGUCUCAUGCGUUAUAUUCUUGUGAUGACCUUUUCGAGCUCAUACAUCCAAGAAGAGCAACAUUGCUGCCCACAAUGAUUCUUCUCUGCCAUCGGACGUCGCCAGGUUUUAGAACAAUGGAGAUGUAUUCUCAUACUCGAUGGAAUCAGAUAAGUAGGAACGAUCAACAAACUGCAAGUAGUAUAUUACACAUUUCUUAUCUUGAAGUAUAAAAUAUUAUUCCUAUUAAAAUAUUAUUUACAGGCUCCACACAUAUCUCAACACACACAAAUACACAAAUGCUUGACAGGUGACUGGGCCAAGUGCAUUCACUCGUACGAUCUAUCAUUUCGAUGAUCGCCUCGAUUCUACGAAACCAGUGCACAAGUAAGCUGACAUAAGCUAGUCUCAUCUGGUGAAUGCAUGUAACCUGGAAACCCCAGACACGACAGGACGAGACGGACAGACUGGACUCGACGGGGCCUAGUUCAGAGUUUUUGGGCAUUCUUCAAUGCACGGUUAGUGACCUAAAAAAAGAAACAUUCGGCAUGUUAUUUUUCCUUUUAUUGUUGUAUCUUGAGUUGGGUUCAUACUGAUACUCACUAGCACAGUCAAUUGCAUAUUCUCCCAUAUACACUCACAUCCAAAACGCGCAAACGCCCCUAACUUUCGCGAUAACACAAACCUGGUCAAAAACGCGAACUUACAUUACAAUUUCAAUCAUCCACACACACCUACGCUCGCAAUUUCGCCAACAUUAAAACACCCCUUUACUUAAGUGAACUUUUCAGCACCUAUAACUUUACAACCGCGGUCUCAAGCAUUAACCCACCACUCGCGCGAUCAUAGACCGGCUACGUUCGGAAUUCUCUACUCUCGAGCAGCCUGGACUCAUGCCUUCAGUUGGACCGAUCGGGAAUGAUGCUCACCAGACAACACGUUCCUCUACCAUACACUGAAAAUGUCUGCGCGCGAUCGUUCGAGAAUACACGUGAAUGUGCGAAUGGCCACACGAAUCUAAAAUCGGAUUUAUGCACGCAAAGUUGGAGACACGCUGGCAUUCAAAUGCUCGAGCCUUUAGCGAUCACACUAUUACACAAUUAGUAAACGCCCACGCUAACCCAGACAGAUAUGCACUCCUGGACUCAAAUGCUAAAAACCACACCUUCCACGCAUACACCACCCAGGACUGAACAUUAGAUUCAUACAUACAAAGCAACAAGUAAUUAUUACAGGUAUUCGUCUGGCAACCGGGGGAAGUACAUCUCAAACGCAGAACUUAUCAUUUCAAUGAUGGCCUUGGAUCUGCGUUGCCUGUGUUCAAGGCACCAUAGCUUUGUCCGUCAGGUCAAGGAUGUAUGAAACCCGCUAGCCACCACCCUCGGCCCUAGCUGCCCAUAAAGGGAUAAAAAAAAGCAGAAUGGCUUAAUUUCAAAACCGACAUUUGUUGAAAUCAACUGAAGAAAAAACUAGAUUCAACCAAAAAAUAGCUGAUUGUAAGGCAAAACACUUGAAUUUAGAGAAUAUAUUGAUUGAAAUCAACAGAAAAUAGUACUAAAUUCAACAAAAACUGUAGUUGAAAAGAUGGAGAAUGUGUCUCCGCUAAAAACACAGCAUCUUUUUCUCGCUAAAUCAACAGAAAAAACAGAAAUUCCAACUAGCAUUUUAGCUCUAUUCAGAAGGAUCGAGAACAACUAAUCAAAAUCAGCAAAACGAGAAUUUGCUUAGUUGUCCUAAAUAAUAACUAAUUGAAUUCAGCAAAUAAACUAACGAAUGCAGAACUACUAGCUAUCCGAGAAGCGCUAAAAUACGUACAAGACGAACAGCUAUGCGAAGUGGUAAUCAAAUCGGAUUCGAAAAGGGCGUACGAGGGCAUCCUCAACCAAGAAAAAGCUAACGACAACUUUCUAAUCUUCGAUAUAAACAAAAUGAGAAACCAUCUACAAGAUCGUAUAAUUAAAAUUCAAUACCAAACCACAUAGAUGUACGAGGAAAUGAAUUAGCAGACCGAGCAGCCGUUCAAGCAACGAAACAAACACAAGACAUGUCCGAAAGUCUAACACUGGGGGACACACUAGGGUUGGCCAAAAAAGCGAUGUGGGCUAAGUGGACACGGCUGCAUCAAGAAAUGUCACACGAAAAAGGAAAAUAUCGAUUCUAACUAUAUAACGAACCGGAGACCAGCGUUCGGUGUAGCAACAUGAACUUUAACACAUACGAGAAAGCAACAUUAUCAAGAAUCAGAACUGGCCAUUGUCUAACAAAAGAUCGUAAGUACAGAUGGAAAUGGACUGAUAAUGAAAAUUGCGAAACCUGCUGCACGAAAGAGGACAUCGAACACAUCCUGUUUCACUGUGCGAAACACAACACCAUAAGAACAACAUACGACAUACUAAUUAACUGGAAAUCACUAAAUGAUAUACUCAAAGAUAGCAUCGAAAAAUAGUAUAAAAUGAUAACAAAAUACCUCAUGGAAUGCAAAAUACGAAUAUAAUCUCAGACAAUAUAUCAGAUAACAUAUCAGACAACACAACAUCGAAAAACAAAAAUUCGAGCCAUAAACGACGGCAAGGUGGAUCUACAAAGGUCUUAAGAUUAAUUAAUUAAUUAGCAGAGCCAAAAACAACAGCAAAGAAAAAAACACAAUAAGCAGGGUAGUUUGGAAACAAUAUUUGAAUAUUUGGCUAUUUCUUCACCACUAAUUGAAUACAAUGUGAAAACCGGAAACGAAAUCAAGUCAUAUAAAAAUAUCAA